rnacentral:rRNA from 1 species
AUUGAACGCUGGCGGCGUGCCUAACACAUGCAAGUCGAGCGGUAACAGGUGUAGCAAUACAUGCUGACGAGCGGCGGACGGGUGAGUAACGCUUGGGAAUCUGCCUAUUAGUGGGGGACAACCCGGGGAAACUCGGGCUAAUACCGCAUACGCACUACGGUGGAAAGCCGGGGACCGCAAGGCCUGGCGCUAACAGAUGAGCCCAAGUCGGAUUAGCUAGUUGGUAGGGUAACGGCCACCAAGGCGACGAUCCGUAACUGGUCUGAGAGGACGACCAGUCACACCGGAACUGAGACACGGUCCGGACUCCUACGGGAGGCAGCAGUGGGGAAUAUUGGACAAUGGGCGAAAGCCUGAUCCAGCGACGCCGCGUGGGUGAAGAAGGCCUGCGGGUUGUAAAGCCCUUUCAGUGGGGAAGAAAAGUCUCGAGCUAACACCUCGGGGUCUUGACGUAACCCAUAGAAGAAGCACCGGCUAACUCUGUGCCAG